GCUAUGUGCUUAAAAAGUAAUUUCAAAUUUCUAUCAACUAUCAUAUACUUAAGGCUAUAUGCAGAGGGAUACAUGAGUUUUUGUCAAUUGCUAACUAUCAAUUUCUGUCACCUAUUAGAAGCAACAUCAAUUGACUUUAUCCAUGCUACACAUCAAUAUCUAUCAGCCUAAAUGCCUGUCACCUACUUAAAAUGAUGGCAUGACACAACC
rnacentral:lncRNA from 1 species